rnacentral:SRP_RNA from 1 species
UGUUAGCCUUAAACACUGUAAAAUUGAACAUUUGGUCAGGUUCGGAAGAAAGCAGCCAUAUCAAUUAAUUCAGGUGUUCUAAUUCAGCUAACAGAA